ensembl:lncRNA
GUUAGGAAGUUUGCCUGGUGUUCCCUACCCGCUUUCACUGGAGUCUGUGUUGUUCAGUCGUGUCCGACUCUCUUGCUACCUCAUGGAGCUCAGCAGGCUCCUCUGUCCAUGGGAUUUUCCAGGCAAGAAUACUGGAGUGGGUUGCCAUUUCCUCCUCCAAGGGAUUUUCCCGACCUAAGGAUCCACGCAGGUGUCCCGCAUUGCAAGCAGAUUCAGUGGGGUCUGACUUAUGCUAAAUCUGCUCUCAAGAGAAGCACUAACAACUUGUAUUUUCCCACCGUUACCUGAAAGAUAUACCAAUUAUUGUUUUGUUUCUCUCAGGCGUUCUCUUACUGUGGCUCUGAGAGGUUUAUCCAUAGUGGGGGGAAAAUACAAAGAUUUAAUAGCCCUGAGCCUUAGUUUUUACAUCUGUAAAAUGGGGCUUCCAUACCAGCAAGGGAAGAGUUGCUGCUGCUGCUGCUGCUAACUCGCUUCAGUCGUAUCCGACUCUGUGCGACCCCAGAGACGGCAGCCCACCAGGCCCCGCCUUCCCUGGGAUUCUCCAGGCAAGAACACUGGAGUGGGUUGCCAUUUCCUCCUCCAAUACAUGAAAGUGAAAAGUGAAAGUGAAGUCGCUCAGUCGUGUCCAACUUUUAGCGAUUCCAUGGACUGCAGCCCACCAGGCUCCUCCGUUCAUGGGAUUUUCCAGGCAAGAGUACUGGAGUGGGGGAAGAGUAGGGAAGGAGAAAUGCAGUGGUCGAGGCAGACCCUGAGCUGGCCUUACCUUGGGUGUUUACCAGAAGAACUUCAGCUUUGGUCUCCUGUGGUCACUCCUGCAUCCCCAGGGCCAGGAAACAAGCCUGAUACACAGCAGUGCCUUCUAUUGCCCAAGGCUAUCUGGAAAUCUGAGGACAAGAGAGCUGAGUGAUGCAAGCCCAGAUCAACCUCCAAGGGCACAGAGGAGGACAGAGAAGACUGGAAACUGAUCUAGGGUUAUAGUGUCCAAUACAACCACCACUAGGCUCAUGCUUAUUUGAGUCCGAAUUGACAUGUACUAUAAAUGUAAACAUACUUUAAAAAUACUUCCUGGAUUUCAAAACCUUGGUAUUCAAAAAGAAGGUGAAGAUCUUAUUAGUUUUUAUACUGAUUACAUGUUGAAGUGAUGAUGUUUUUAUGUAUUGGGUUAAAUCAACUAUAUUAUUACAAUAAAAUUCAUCUGUUUCUUUAUACAUUUUGACUGUGGCUACUAGAACACUUAAAAUUAAGUGUGUGGCUCACAUUGUAUCUGUUGGAUUGUAUUGAUCUACAUGGACAAGUGGAAAAUAACCACACAUGACAACAAAUAAUCAUUUAAAAACUCAAUUUAAUUCUAUAUCCUAGACAACUAUAUGAAAAUAGUGUUUCUGCAAAUCACAUAGUUUAAAAUUUUUUAAACCUAAUUGCCUUGAUCCUUUGACAUAUGGCCCUUCUAUGUAUUUUUAUAUUAUUCCCUGAACCAGUUUUGUUUUUUUUUAGGUUACAUCACACAGCAUGUGGGAUC